GGGGCUAUAGCUCAGUUGGGAGAGCGCCUGGAUCGCACCCAGGAGGUCGCCAGUUCGAGCCUGGCUAGCUCCA
rnacentral:tRNA from 1 species